GCCGCUGUUGCAAGUGAUCUGCCACACGCCUGUCGCGUGCUGCUACGUGUAAACUUUGUCGGUGGCUCCAGUUCCGGGACUGGGAAGGGAUGCGGCCCAGGCCGUGGCUUCCUUAGCAGGCAGCGGCAGCACUAGCAGCUGCCGGCCGAGCUUCAGCAAGGACGUGGGUGCGAGAAGAGCCAUAUGCGAAGCCUUGAAAGGAAAGCCCAUGGGAACAGUAGACGUCCAGUGGAGCUUUUCCUAGUGGCAUGAGGGUUGCUUUUAUCUACCUUGGUUAACCCAGGCGUGGAGUCCUUGGAGGUCUGCUGUGACUAUUUUGCCAGGCCCUUUGAGGACAAAAACUCCUGCUUCCAUGUGGACUUGAGUGCCACUGUUGUACAGUGUCUGCUGAGGUGUCCGAUGAACUAUUCGUCUGAUUUUGUGAGAUCCGUUUCCAUUAUGGAAGCACCAACUCUUGUAACAAGUAAUCUGAAACAGUGGGGUAUGAUAGAGAGAAAGGCAACCUACUCUUCCUUCACUGAUUCUUUUUUUUUAUAAUUACUUGUUGAUUGUUCUUCAUUUCCUUCUUCUUUCUUGUUAGCUAGUGUUAGUAUGCAUGUGUGAUGAUUCUAUAAUGGUCACAUGUAUGCCUGUGAUUGAAUCCUGACGACACAGAGGCUCGAUGAAUGGCAAUUCUCAUGUGGUAUACCAGCUCUGGAUGGGGUUGCACUCUUUCUGAAAGAGCAGGUGCCUAAUCUGGGGAUGCUCCUAGAUGCAUUGUUGUCAAUAGAGGUCCAGGUGACUUCAAUGCUUUGGACACCCAUUAUCAACUUCAGUUGUUGCACCACUAUGACCAUUAUGGACAGGGAUAGCCUGCCACGGUGGUUUAUACAUUGGUAACUUCACAAUUAGACUACUCUAAUGUGCUGUAAGUGGGGCUACCCUUGCACCUGGUUUGGAAGCUGCAACUAAUGCACAAUGCAAUUCCUAGGGUGCUAUGUGGGACAUCAAGAAUUACACAAAUUACAUCAGCAUUGACAGAUCUGCACUGGCUGCCUAUUAGCUACCAAACCAAGUUCAAGGUUUUGUUGUUGACGUUUAAAGCCACAAACACCUUGAGAACAGGAUACCUGGCAGCCUCCCCUGGUGUAGACCAAGUCGAUCUUUAAAAUAUUCAGAGGAGAACCUUUUGGUUGUUCCACAACCAGCAGAUCGUCACUUGGUGGCAACACAGAAGCAGGCCUUCUCAGAGAUAGGAGCAUUCCUUUAAACAUCUCUUAAAGGCCUACAUGUUUACCCAAGCUUUCUUGAACUUUGACUCUUAAACUUUAUUUUUAUUUUGUUUUCUACACUACUCAAUAUACCGUUGUAUUUUUAUCCUGUUUUUAGUAUAUUUUAUUGAAUGUUGUGUUUUCAUUAUUUUUAUGUAAACUGCUUAGAGAUUGUUAUUAUAUUUAGAGGUGUAAAACUAUAAAUAAAUAAAUAAAGAAUGAAUAGUUGAGAGAGAAAUGGAGCCAUAAACAAGCAAUCAAGUGGAUCCCUUCUGCAGAAUACAUUGAGAUCAGUAUUAUACCACUUUAAACAGUCAUGGCUUCCCUGAAAUAAUCCUGGGAACUGUAGUUUAUAAAGGGUGCUGAGAGUUGUUAGGAGACUUCCUAUUAUCCUCACAGAGCUACAACUGCUAGAGUUCCCUGGAAAGAGGGAUUGAUUGUGAAACCACUCUGAGAAUUGUAGCUCUGUGAGGAGAAUAGGGGUCUCCUAAUAAUUCUCAUCAUCCUUACCAAACUACACUUCCCAGGAUUUUGUUGGGAAACCCAUGACUUUUAAAGUGGUAUAAUACAGCUUUAAAUGUAUUGUGCCAACAGGGCCACAAAAGAGAGCCAUAGUAAAACCAUUCAGAUAUCAUUUGCUCCAUUUUUAGCAUCUUGAAUGUAAAAUAUGUGAAAACACAGUUAACUAUAAACUUCAACUUUUUCCAAAAGAAGUGUUGUAUUAUUUUAUCUGCUGUUAUCUGAAGGACAACACUGCAAGAUUCUGUAUGAGAUGGUAAAUAUUGAUUUGUUCGGUUGUGCUGUUUGUCUCUGCUUCAGUGCUGACUUAAACAAGAUCCCCUUCCCCUUUUCCUUCAGUUUAUAUGUACCAAAGUAAUUUUUGAUAUUUUGAAUAAUGUAUACAAUCAUACCAGGUGUUAUAUACAAUUAUACUGGGGUGAUACUGAAUGCUAGUCAUACUCAGAGUAGACCUACUGAACAUGAUGGGCUUCAGUUCAUUGAUUUCAGUGGAUCUAUUAUGAAUAAGACUAACAUUGGAUAUAGGAACAUAGGAAGCUGCCUUACACUGAGUCAGACUCAUUGGUUCAUCUAGCUCACUAUUGUUGACACUGACUGGCAGCAGCUCUCUGGGGAUUCAGAGAGGGAGACUGUCCCAGCCCUACCUGGAUAUACUAUUGGGGAUUGAACCUGGGACCUUCUACAUGCAAAGCAGAUGCUCUACUGCUGAGUCCUCCCCCUAUCAUCCUGUUUCAAUUAAAUAACUUCACUAAAUUUGUCUGGUUAUGUGUUACAUACAGUAGUCUACAACAAGCAAAGAAGUUACUCUGCAUAUGAGAAUGUGGCCUAUAUGGUAUAUAAAUGCACAGGAUCUCUGUACUUUUCUAUGUUUUUGGAUCCUUAAAAUGGCCCCUUAUUCUUAUGGGUAUUGGGAAAUUGCUUGCAGAUACCAACUGGUGGAAUUAUAGGACAAGCCAAACUGAAAGUAAUACCUGAUGAUUUUUUUCCUUUCAAAAAAGUCUUCCUAUCCCACUCACCACAGCUUCAGUGAUGGAUUUCAAGGGGCAGGACCCCAGUGAAUGAGGAUCAUAGCAUGCAAUUUUAAUUUCAUUGGAAGGUUUUGGGGUGGCGAAUGGGAAAUUGGAUUAGCAAGGAGAACUUGAAAAUGUGUUCCAGGUGGCUGUUUGAGGGGGAGUCAACCUUUGGUACUUAGCAGCAAGAGUGGGGUUAACAUGGUUUUGCAUAAAGUGCCAUGCAUUUUUAUGCUGCUUUCAUAAUUUUAUAGCCACAAACGUGGCUGUAUACUAUAACCAGUGAUUUUUCACAUUCCGCCAUGUUAAAUUGAAAACAACCCCCAUGCCAUUCUGCUGCUUCCCAUGAGAUCAUUUCAGAACAAAAUCUUACAAAACUUAUAGUCCUGAACUCAGAAACACUUGCUUAAUAACCCUCUACAUUUUCAUGGCAAUACACAAAACAAUCAGAGAGAAUCCAGACUUUGGAGUCUGAAACAUGAGUAAAAAAAUCCAGACCCCUGUUGGACUUUUUUCUGACAGUGGUCUCAUAAUUUGUUGUAAUUAAUUAAAAAUCAGCCAUAUUCACAGCAUACCUGUAAUCCUAUUACUGACCUUGCCCCAUACUCUGAUCUUUAUCUUUUGCAGUUACAAAGUUAAAAAAAUGCAUGACUGAUUUUUAAUUCGUUUAAGAAAAUCAACACUGGAGCCUAUGAUAAUGUAGGCAUGCUUAGUAAGAACAAACUAAUUGUUCUAAAAGCUAGACUAACAGCUGUUUGGCUUGACUAAUCAAAGGGCCACACCCAC